UCCAACAGGAUGCCACCUGACAGUCAUCAGUCUGUUACCCACAGUGGCUGGAGUACAGAUAUCCUGGGAGUUGGCCUGAGCUGACAUUUCUUGGGCUUUCUUCUUCCAAACUCUGAAAGCUGAAAUCCACCCAAUCAUUGCUAUUGGCUAUGAUGCCAACCAGAAAUCGUCCUGGUCCUGGCAGCCUUUGUGGAAAUAUUCUUCCCAAAGGUUACCUUCCCAACACUGACUUUUAAAAGGAAUAUUUGGAGGACUUGAGGUCAUGGCACUGUCUGGGCUUCCCUGGCCCAUUGGCUCUUGCCAUCUUUCCUUUGGGUUUAUUUUUCUAAGUUUUCUCUUGGGUCCUUCUCCUGCCUCUUCCCCAGGAUUCUUGUCCUUUUUGUUUGCCAGAAGCAUAGUAACAGUGACUAUGUGGUGGUGAGCUAUGCUAGGACCAAUAGGAGACAGGCUGAUAUAAACCAUUUAGGGAAGAGACCCAGCCGUAAAUGGAUGUCUUGUUCAGCUGUUAUUUUAUUGGGUGCACAAAUGAUCUGAAACUAGUAAAUAACUGGGUUCUAAGGGCUGAUCCUGUUCUGUUGGGAAAAACACUCAAAUGAACUUCAGUGGCCUUAGACAAAUCAUUUCCCCUCUUUGAACCUUAGUUUCUUCCUCUGUAAAGUGAAAGGGUGGGAUUAGAAAAUAAUUAUUGGCCUGGCUCCACCAGCUUUGUGGCUGUAUAUCAGGUUCCCAGUACUACCAAGUUAAACAGAGGCAGAGACAUUAGGCAGAACAGAUCUGGUUUCAGCCUUCUCUCUCCCUCCCAUGUUACUCAUCUCUCUGACAGUAUUUUUUCUCAUGCUAAUGAGACUGAAGCAAAAUGGCCAGAGAGAAGAUUGGAAGGGAUUUUUUUUUUUGUCAUGGAAAUGUUUUGACAAAAUGAUGGAUUGUUUUUCUGAGCUGUACAGUUUAUUUUGUUCAUGCCGCAGAAGGGAAGAGAGCUGAAAUAGGAGCUGCAUCAGAUUAGGAAGCCACAAAUGGAGGAGACAAGAGCUAGAUCCACCCUCCCACCUGCCACCUUGUUGCCCCAAGUGAGCAGAAAUGCAUGGGAUAAGGAGCAAUGCUCUAGGCACAGCUACUGCCCCAGCAGCCCUAGCCAUGUAGCCCAGUAGCCAUGGGGUAAAAUGGACCUCAUUAAUCCCAUUGAAAGCAUCAGGGUCAAGGCUAUAGAAAGAGGUUCUGUUCAGGCAAGGAAGGGCAUUUGUCAGGCAUUCUCAGAUAUCUCCCAGGUCCUAUAAAACCCUACAACUCUCACCUUAUACUUUAGAUUGUCAGGAAGGAUAGGUUGUGAGACAAGGACUCUGUAAACCUUAAAACAGUCUAUAAAUGGGAGUUAGAGUUAUGAGACAAUGGGACCUAGAAUACUGGGCUUGGAUUCAGGAAGCUUUGGGUUCAAAUCACUCCUCCAACAACCACAACUUGUACGUUUGCAGAAAAAAGGCACUCAAGUUUUUGAGUCUCAGGCAACUAUCUUCGCAGCGUUAGAUGGCUUGGCGGAGGGAGUUCCUUCAUUCAUGAAGUUACCCACAUUUGAUCCUACCCCUUGUUUGUCAAGGGUUAAUCAGACUUGUCGAAUUCUAGAGCUAAAAGAUAAGAUAAAAGACAAUCUUCUAAUCCAAUUCUAAUCCCUUUUAAUCUAGCCUGUUUGUUAACUCAUCCUCAUUAAUAACUCCUCAAUCUAGUCCAUUUAAUGACUCAGUAAACUGAGGACUGUUUGGGCAAAGUGAUUUCUCCCAGGUUUCUGCAUAAGCCAAUGGCAGAGAUGGCACUAGGACUCCUCUUUUCAUGACAGCAUAAAGCCUAAAAUAGUCUCCAUAGCUCUAGUUUUCAUGGAGGAGGAAAGGAUUAUAUAGUACCCACUCUGUGCCAGGGGCUUUGAAAUUAUUAUCUCAUAUAUCCUCACAACUCUGGGAGGUAGCUGCCAUUAUUAUCCCUAUUUUACAUUUAAGGAAAUGAAGGAAGACACAUUAAGUGACUUGUCUAAGGUCAUACAACUAGAAAUAAGACUUGAACUCAAUUCUUCCUGACAACCACUUAGUUGCCUCUAAAUGAGGUAGUGGAAAGAGGAAAGAAGGAUUGGCUGAAGUCUAGCAAAUACUAUCAUAGGAUCCAUGAAAGAGGUGAGGUCAAGAAGGAAUGAUGGGACAAUAGAGAUGAUCAGAUCUCUCACUUCAGAGAAACAACAUAGUACAGUGGAAUACUGGACUCGGAAUCAGAGAGACCUGGGUUCAAAUCCCACCUUUGAUAGAAUUCUAGGCAAGUCAUUUGUCUUAAUCCUGUUUGUCUCAGUUCCUUAUAUGUAAAAUGAGAUGAGAAGGAAAUGGUAAAACCAUUCCAUUUUUGCCAAGGAAAUCCCAAAUGUCAAACAUGACUGAAAUGACUGAACAACAACAUAGGCUUCUUGUCUACUCAUUCUAACCCCUCUCCUCUUCUUAGAAAGCUUUUUGCUUUGGAAGUGCAGGCAUUGGGGAAAGAUGGUGAGAUGAAGAAACAAUCAAAUGAGCUCUAGAGUCCUCAUGAAGUCCUCCCUGGCUGUAGUUUUCUGUGGGCCUCCGAGAAUAAUUGCUUUUCUGAAUCCUAAAAUGUCAGAAAACAACGAUCACAAAUGGCUUCACCAUGCAAAUGAAAAAUAAAUAAAUACUUUUAAAAGAGAAAAUUACAAUAAAGAAAAAUGCUGCAAAGAGGCAAGUUAAGACUCGAGGUCAGAAAAAAAGCUUUCUACCAACUAGAACCAUCCCAGAGUACAAUGGGCUGCUUAGAAGUUGCUUUCUCCCUUUGUAUGUUGGCUAUGUUCCUUUCCUGUAUCAGAUGGGGAAGCUAAGACUGAGAAAUUAAAUGACUUUUCUGAGGUCAUCCAGUAAGUUGGACCCUGAGUCUGUGUGAUUUCAAGAGACGUUUGAGAGAUCACAUGUAUGUCCAUAUACACAGUAAGUCUACACGUUUCCCUUCUGUAUCCAUGCAUACACAGAAUAACCAUAAAGAGACUAAAUACUAAGAAGCUAAAUGCAAGGUAGUUGGGCAGGAGGGCACGAGCACAACACUUGAGGCCUCUCUUGAAGGACAAGUGGAAUUCUUCAAGGUGGUGGUGACGAUGCCCACAUCCUAGGCAUGGGGAAAAGUCAGUGUGAAAGGGAGGAGAAAGGAAGGGUGGGAACAGCAAGAAUGUUCAAUGAGUCAGAAAACAUAACAAGUCACAAGCUGUAAAGGCUUGAAAGUUUUAGCCUGGGUAAACCCUGGGACUCCUUACCCCAAGUUCCACUCUCUCUGGGGAGUCAGGAGCCACCACCAGUUUAGCCAUAGACCCUGAGGUCUUUAUCCAAGCUGCCCACCUCUCCCUGGCAAGUUGGGCUCCCAUCUUCCCCUUGAGGUUCUAAGGCUGUCUCUGAGGGGCUGGGAUACUUUUCUAAUGGUGCUGGCCCAAGUCUCCAUUUGGGUGUGUUCUCCUCCAUAUCAAUUGUGUCAGUUACAGUUAAUAUUUCCAUAGCAUAAUCGAUUGUCCCCAUGGUUGGUACCUCAGCAUCUUUGCCCUUUGUUUCCCAGGAAAAGACUCAAACUCAGCUCAACUAUCAUAUACAAGAUUCUCUACAACCCCACCCCAUUCACUUUCAGUUCUCAUCGCUGAUGGAUGAGUUGAUUUCUUUUGCUUGCAGAAAAUGGCAUUUCGGUGUCAAUUCAUUGUUGGACUGGUUUGAGGAGGUCAUUCUGGGCUUUUUCCUUACAGAGAUUGGCUACCUGGGUCUUAACUGCGGUGUCCUGGAGAAAGUCUACCCAUGGAACUUCUCCACAUACAGAAUUUGCCAGGACCAAGCCCAUAGAAUGAAGGGAAAUGGUCUAGUCUACUUGAGGAUUAAAUUUAGGGUUGUAGCAACUGAAGAGAAAAUACUUUGGCGACGGGUGUACAAGGUUCAGCUUUGGAAGCUGUUCUGUGCCUUCCCAGGACCCUUUUCUCAGAUGCCACUCUUUCCUCCCAUCUGGUCCCUCCUCUCUUCAGUCCCUAUUCUCUGCCUUCUCCCUUGCUCUAGUUUUCUCUUCAGGCUUUGUUGUUGUUCAGUUGCUCAGUUGUGUUUGACUCUUUGUGACCCUAUUUUUCUUGGGAAAGAUACUGGAGUGGUUCAUAAUUUCUUUUUCCAGCUCAUUUUAUAGGUGAGGAAACUGAAGCAAAUGGGUAAGUGACUUGCCCACGGUCACAUGGCUAAUAAGUGAAACCAGAUCUGAACUCCGGUUUUAUUGUUUCUAGACUCAGCAUCCUAUCCACUGUAUGACCUGGCUGCCCUUUUCUUCUGGAUAUCCUCAUGGAAUUCCAUUGUAAGCCAGACCAAGACAGUUCUCAGUGGAUCAUUGAACAGAGUUAUCUUUGGAGCUGUACCUGUUUAAAAAGCUCUAUUCCCACUCAAAGACUUUGUGAUUCUGGGUAUCUGAGUCACAAAUUAACGUACGACCUUUGGAACCUGGAGAGUGGAUUUGAAAGUUUCAUAUUAUUCCCUGAAACUAAGAAAGAAGAUUUUGAUCCUUCUGGGGUUGACAUCCUCAUGGGUCCAAAGCUCACCACAUUUCCAGGGUAAUGCCUGAUCAGAGGAAAUAGAUGGAAAGACCCAGCCUAGAAUGAAACCAGACUCUGCAAAGGGUUUUUUUGAGUGCUUUAUUUCCUAGAGGGACAAAAGCAAAAGGUACUUUCUCGACAGACAAAUGUGAGGCCUGGAAGUUCUCUGUUUCCCUAGAUGACAGUGAUGACAUAGGGAAAGUAUGCAUUCGCCUGUUGGAAAAUACCUAGAAGCUUAUGCUGGCAGACAUCACCUACUUCUGACUGCCCUCCAUUCUCAUAGCCUGAAUCCCAGCUGCUCUCCCAUUGUAUAUUCUCAAAAGAGAAUUUGUUGUUGUUCAGUCAUGUCCAACGCUUCGUGACCCAUUUGGGGUUUUCUUGGCAGAGAUACUAGAGGGGCUUGCCAUUUCUUUCUCCAGAUCAUUUUACAGAUGAGAAAACUGAGGUAAACAGGGUUAAGUGACUUGCUUAAGAUCACUUAGCUAGUAAAUAUCUGCAGCCAGAUUUGAACUCAGAAAGAUGAAUCUUCCUUACUCCAGCCCCAGCACUCCAUCUACUCUCUCUCCUAAAAGAGAAUAGCUGGUCUUCUCUCCUGGAGCCCCCAUCUCUGGUUAAGAGGAAGGAUGGUACCCCCAACCAUUUAGGCAGCUUCAGCUGCCUCUUAG